UAGCUCAACUGGCAGAGCAAGGCAUUAACGCUGCCAGGGUUAUGGGUUUGAUGCCCAAUUGGGACCA